rnacentral:tRNA from 2 species
UGCUGGCGGAACGGGAUCGGUCUCCGGCGCCUGCGGUGCGACGGGAUCGAGGGCGACGACCGUGACCGACGGUUCCGCCAUCGCCAUCGGCGCC